CAAGCAUUCAGAUUUUGUUUCCCCAUGCAACACCGUAAGCUCCCUACAGGGAGAACAUAUGUCUCAGGUCAGGGAAUAGAUGGGAAGACAGUUUUUGAGAGCAUGAUAAUGAAGGGAGUUUUCAAUACACUGAGUUUUGUACACCUGUAGUAUAUGCAGGUAGAAACAUCCAAUAAGCAGUUAUUACAUACACAUCUGGAUAUCAGAGGGAGGUCUAAGCUGAACUCAUUCAUUGGAACUCAUCAGCCUAUGUUUGGUUCACUGCCAGGUGGAGUGCAUGAACUGCAUCACACAGGGAGAGUGGAGAGGGGCAGUGGGUGAGCAAGAUGAGCGGGUGCGGGAAACCGGAAGCUCUGCCAGAGAGUGACCAAUGGUGGCAAAUGCCACAACAAAGACAAGUAAGAGAAGACUAGGAAAAGUGCCCAGUGGGUUUGACUGCAAUUGACCCUCAAAGAGCAAUUUCCCGUGAGUAAUGAGAACAGAACCCGGACAGAGAGCGAAUGAGGAUGGGCUGCACUGCAAGGAGAGUAAUUAGAGAACGCGAACUCAGACCAUGCCCUGCACACCAGAGAAAGGAAGGCUGACACCAAACAGGAGCUUCCAGGAUGAAAUGGCUAUGACACAAAUAGAUGAGGUAAUUUAUGCAGUGGCACACAGCUGGCGAGUGGAAGAGCAGAAUUCAAGCUCACACAGUCUGGAAUCAAAGGCUUUAUUCUCAACCACUGGGCUACGCUGCCUCCAUUUUUAUGUUAGCAAUCCAGGCAGCAACUUCCUUCUCAUCCAACCUUGACCUUUUGUUUUGUUGGACUCAGUCCCAGAUCUCUGGGACCUGAUGCUGGGACCUGAUGCUGGACUUUGCAGAAUCAUGGAUCAAAUCCAAAUGCUGCAGUACAUAAAGGUUCUGUCUUCUUAAAAAAAAUCCAAAUUCUUGUAGCUCUUUUACAGAAUGCAAUAUAUGUCCAAAAGUUUAUAAUAAGAUUAUCAAAUGUGAUGUUCUAAAAAUCAAAACUCAUGUGCUUAUAAAAAUGAUUUGCUACAUUAUUACACGCUGCUCUUAAGUCUAACAUUCUCUCCAGAAGUUCCCACAGUUAUAAUUUCAAGCCAGUGAAAGUAAUUAAGACAGGAAAAGGGAGAAUCCUUAACUUACUUUCAGCAGAUUUAGAUUUUCUUCCUGUAAUACUCUUUAUGCAGCCCUCCCUGCUGUUGCAAACUCUUAGAUCUACCCCCAAACAUGUUAUUUACAAAGUCUUAAAGUCUCACAGAUAUUUGCAUUUGUUUUGUAAUGUACUAAACAAGUCAUCAUAAUGCUUUAAAAAGAAUUGAAGAAGACACAGCUGGAUCCUUUCUGUACUGUGAGACUGACUCUUCUCAAGAUUUAAGACUGUCUUCCCACAAACCUUCGAAGUAGAUCUAUUGGACUGCUACCUGAAGGAUCUCCUGGAAAUAGGCAUAUCUUUAAAGCUGAUGCCCAUUGCAUCCUCUUCAUUCUGCAUUACAAAUUUUAUAAUGCCCAGUUUGAUUAAAGGAGUGUCUUUAGGCUAUUUGUUAGGGUCCAACUACAACCUUUGAAUAGAGAUUAGGCUGGGCAGCUUGCAAAUCUUGCACAAAAAGUAAAUCUACUCUUUGCUUUGAGACUUGGGGAGUGUCAAGAGUAAUUGGAAUGUUUUCUUCAUGUGCCCCUGCCCUAAAGAUUACAUCUUUUCCUUCAAGAUUUAGCAAGAGGCACUGAGUGAGAAUUGUAAUCAAUAUCAUUAGCUAAACAUACUACACCCAAAAGACAAACAGCUGCUGGAUUACUGCGCUACUACUCACCAUCUUAGAGUCCUCAUUCAUAUAGUGCUCUAAACCUGGAGAAAUUCACAUACCGACUCAUACAUCACCCAAAAGAAUUCUGAAAAUAUAGCUGUGAAUUGUGGAAAUUCACAGCCAUAUGGCCAGAAUAGGCCUGGAAACAACUAGGUGUUCUUGAUUUUUUAUUUCAAGAUUCUUUUUUGGUCUAAAUAUGUAAGCUCCAGCCAAGAGAUACACCUGAACUAUCCAUACCUUGCUGUGAGUUUUUGGUGUGUUCAGAAACCAGCAUGCAAAUGUCAUUGGAGAUACUGUAAGAGAAAAGGAUGUGAGGUGUCCCCUUGAGAGAUUUUUAAUGGAACUAGUCUGAGGCUAGUUUCACACAAAUAUCUCCUGGGGACUGGAGGCAGGGAAAUGACUAGCUCAGCAUCAAGCCUGUAGACCGAGGAUAUGCAGGGAGAAUGGAUGGGGAGACCCAUCCAAGAGGGUUGUUUCAGGAGCUAGGUCAUUCCACGGUUCCAAUCUUCCUUCACGUGUCAUACUCCUUCCUUCCAAGGUUUGGUGUCUGCCCUGCAAAAUACCCAAUAAUCGAAAAGCACAGUAUGAUUUAUGGCAUUAGUAGUUCCUUAAAGCUGCUUAUGGAAGUGUCUUCAGUCCAUAAAGUUGGAGAAAAGAGAAUGAGAAACACAGGGCAUAAAUUGUAUCUUCAGAAUACUUCAUCAGCUGGCUAGUUAAGUAUAAUAGUCCAUUAGUAGCAAGAUAAGGCUCAGUUAAAACUGUAAAUUAAAAUUUAGAUGUCUCUUUCCCUCUGCCUGUAAAAAAGCAAUUUUGCUGCAACCUCAACACCAGGUGAACCACUAGACCACUUAAAUAACAGGUACUAAAUCAAAAUUUCACUCUGGAAAUUGGGAACUCAAAUCUAUUUUGCAUGCUUUGUAAAGUCACCCACCAUUCCAGGACAUCUUAAACAGGCAGUUAUUUUGUUACAGCCUUUUCCUGGUAGUGAGGAGAAAAGUUGGAUGGGAUGAGGCAGAGGUUGGAAAAGUUGUAAGUAGAGUAUUUUUAAUACCACAAUAUAAAUAAUGAAUUAGGUAGGGCAGUGAUUCCAUGGAUGCUAAAAAAUGUUCUUAUAUCCAACCCCUUUGUUUUGAGAGGAUUCAAUCCCAUUUUAAAUGGCAUUCUUUAGAUUUGCCAUUUAGUCAUGCUAAAACCAAAAAUGCUCAGAAAAUAAAAACCCAAAACACUGAGAGUUGAACACAUUGACACAUUUCCAAGGGUGUAAAAUGAAACAACUGCAUGGAGGCAAAAGUUUGCCUAGAUAAGAAUCAGUAUGAAACAACUUUGAGGGAGUAGAGAGAAUCGUCUGCCUAUGAUAUCAACCCUGGAAAUGAGCCUGUAACCAUCUCAUUAGUAAGCUUCGUGCCCCGGCUUCACACACACUGAGAUCCAACUCAGCAGCUACCAGAACUGACCCAGCUGCCCUACAGGAAAGUAUGCAACUUUCCGUUUCUAAGUAGGUCCACCAAGAGAGCAAGAAGGGUCUUUGACCGAAAGAACUGGGUCACAGGAUGGGAGCGGCACCAUUGCCUUUAACAUCAUAAACUCUUGAGUUUUAAGGAGACACGGUUCCCAUAGGCCUAAGAGAGUUUCUUAAAUGUGACCUACAUUCAAACAUAAUUAUCUUUCUUUCCCAAUUGGCAAACAUUUACUGUAUAAUCUUGUCGUAAAAUCCCACAAUUAAUAAUUUUUAAUGUAACAAGCCACAUUCUCUGACCUAAAAUGUAGUGCGAUACAUAACAGUAGAAAACAAUUAAAAUAGUCUGACUAUACCUUAGUCCUGCCCCUAAGAUUUUUGGAACUACAGCUUUUCCUUUAGAUGAAAUGACUUACUUAAUCAGUUGAAGUUACCUGUAGCCUUCUUUGGGAGGAGUAUUUAGAAAUGUUGUAUCCUUACUAAAUAUUCAGGACUAGUUUUAAAUAUUGUUUAAAAAGCACAAUGAAGACUUGAACUAAAGCAUUACACACGAAGCCCUUUGAAAGUAGGAAUUUAUUCUUUAGAAGAUUAUUUAUGCUGUUCAAUUCAUUUGAUUUUAGCAAAUAGUAUCUCAGAAAUGGUGUGGCAUAGGAUAAAAAGUACUAGGGCUGGGGAUUUAGCUCAGUGGUUCUGCCACCUGCCCCACAAGCUCAAGGACCGGAGUUCAAUCCUGGUACCAAAAAAAAAAAAAAAAAAAAAGAAUAGGAUAAAAAGUACUGAAAGGUUAGAUCUAACCAGGCCAACAAGCCAGCAAUAUGAUCGCAGGCUUCUCAGUCAUCUUGGAAUCUCUCUUUCAUCUGUAAAAUGAGAUCAUGGCAAUGCCCAUCUUGUAGUGUUGCUUUGAAGAAUAAAAAAUUAGAGUAACUGAAGUAACUGGUAACCUGAAAAUGAUUAAACAGAUGUUUAGAUUGUUGUGAGGCCUUCAAAUAUCAAGAAAAUUAUCAGAAAAAUGAAGCACGCCAAAAACAUCUUAAACAUGUCUACCUAAAAUACAUUUUGACAAAUAUAGAUGCCAAAUAUGCACACAGAAAUUUCAGAUCAAAUAAAUGUGCAUUUAAAGUCAGCAUGAACUUCCAGAUAAAGAUGGCAGAUUAUGCACAUGUAUUUAUAUUUUCUUCCAAGCAAAAGUCCAUACAAACGUUAUUAAAGGAAUACAAAUAGGUGCAAAACUACAAGGUAAAACAAGAAUAAGAAAUAGUUAUCAGUAGGUAGAAUAUUUCAACAAAUUUUUGGAGGAUGAAAAGUACAUGGAGGCAUUCAAAGGCAUUCACAGAAGUUCACUCAGAGUAGACGAAGGUUAAGGGAAUAGGAGGAUGAUGGUAGGGAUGUAGAUUAGCUGCCAAGAAAAACCUUUGAGAUGCUGAGAAUCCUGAAACUUCAGAUACUGUGGGGGUGGACAUGAAACAUAGGUUAAGAUAUAGAAGAAAUCAAUGAAAAGCCUGUCCAAGGAAAGCUGAUUUUAACACUAUGUAAAUGUCAACCACAAUCAUUGCAUUUGCCUUGCUCUAUGAUGUAAACGGAAAACCGAAGAUUCCUUUACAUUUGGGAAAAGUCUUAAUGUGAGAGACUCUGACCAAGAUAAACAAGGAGGAAAACCUGAUUCCAAAAUAAAAAUAACACAACAAAGAACACAAGUUUUUACAAAAAUUCUAACAUCCUUGAAAGAUUCAAGAAUUCUUUGUUUCUAUUAGACAAGAACAGGAUACUCUGAAAAAGAAUAAACUGAGUUUAAGAAGAAAGCUUGACAUCAUUUACAUAUGUAUGUAACACAAACAUAUGUAGAUACAGUUUUUCCAAAAAAUUCAGAAUGUAAAAUUUAUAAAAUCUCAUGGAAGGUAAAAUGAAAAUAGACAAAAAGAUCAAACCAGGAGGACUAACAGGAAAUCAAUUGGAAUUAAGUAAAAUGAGAUGCAAAAUGGAAAGAAGUAGGGAAAGGAUGGAAGGAUCAUUUUAAUGGUACAAGAGAAUUUUGUACCCGAAAGAAUUAAGAUUUCAGGUGGUAAGAACUCAUAAGUGGUUGUAAAAAGACUCUUACCUAAGAUCAUCUUUGAAAGAAAAAUGCAGGAAGAAAAAGCAAUGAAAAUCAAACUGGUAUUGUACUUCAUAUUAGCAAUAUUGGACCCUCAAGAAAAAGGAACAUGUUUUUUAAAUUCUGAGAAAAAGUUACUUUCUAACUAUAUUACCCAUGCCUAAUUAAGUUAUUAUGCAAAUGUGAGCAUAGGCCACACUUGCAGGUGCUGAUUUUCAUACAUUCAAAGAAUCAGAAAAGUUGUCUCACGUAUAAUUUCUUUAGAAUUGUGUUGAGUAUGUCCUGCAGCAAAAGAAGUCUGCAAAAAGGCAAAAGCUUGAUCCUACAAAUGAGGAACAAAGCAGACACAGAUGAUCAAUAAAGGAAAGACUUUCACUGGGUAGCAGGCAUAGUGUACAAGGAGACAAGAGUAGAGGACAAAGGAAUUUUUCUUGAAGUAGUUGAAGAAGAAGUAAGUUCCUGAAAAAGAAUUAACAAAACCUUUACCUGAAUGGACAGAAAGAGUACAUGAUAAAGAUAAACAGCAUUUUUAAAAAGGCGAUUACAAACUCUAGAAAAGUUAAAAGCUGUACAAGAGAGGAAGUAUAAUAAUAGCACGGUACUUGAAACUGUGAGAAACAAUCUUAAAUUCCAAAGUAAAUAGCAUUUACUGAUUUAUAAAAUUACAGGAAAAGAUGAUAGAAUUAUAAUUAGAGAGCAGAAAGCAAAUGUCAAUAAUCUUGACAACACAGAAGAAAAGAUUACAAAAAUUGAGAGACGGAAGUGAGAGAAAAGAACUGAAAAGACAGAGAUGCAGAAUAAAAUACUCUUAUUAAAGAAAUAAGUAUUUUACUGAAAGUUACAUAGGUAACCAAUAAAGGCAUAAAAUAAAAAUAAGAUGUAUAGAAAGUAUUAGGAGGCUUAAAUUACAGUCUAAUCUAUCAAUAACACAUAGCAAAACAAUAUAAUAUUGUAUUGGUCCAUUUUCCCUCCACUGUAACAAAAUACCUGCAGCUGGAUAAUGUAUAAAGAAAGGAGGUUUAUUUAGCCCACAAUUUUUGAGGCUGAGAGUCCAAGCUUGGGCAGCCCCAUGUGUUUGGCCUCUGGUGAGGACCCCCUUGUCUGUGUCACCUCCUGGAAGAUGACAUUGUGAUGGGAACCCGUGCAAAAAGGAGAAAGAGUACAGUGAGAUGGGAAGUCAGGGCAUGAGGAGAGGCCAGUUUUGCUAUUUUAUAACAACCCACUCUUGUGAGAAGCAUUUGGGUGGCCCAAAGCACCUACAUUAAUCCUUUCCAAGGGUAGAGUCCCCAGUGGCCUAAUUGCCUGGCACUAGGUCCCACCGGUUAAAGGAGCUGACAUAUCCCAAUCCCCUCACAAUGAGAACCAAGUUUCCAACACACAAGAACUUGGGGACACACACAAACCAUGUCCAAGCCAUGGCAGAUAUCUAAGCUUAACAACUCAAGAAAGCAAUACAAGCACAUUAGUUAGCGAUAGGAAGAUAACUAACAAAAACUGCUAUAAAAUUAAAAGUCACAUCUGAGCAGAGACACAGGACAUGAGGGUCAGGACUGAAAUUUAUUGCUUUUCUGCCUCGAUGCUUCUGUCCUUUGUUAUUAUCAUGUGGAGUUUUGGGGGGUUUCUUAGCUUUGAUAAAAAUUUUUAAAUGAUUGAUAAAAAACUCAAGGGCGUAAAUUUUACUGCAAAAUGUGCUAUCCAUUAUGAUACACUACCAAUCCAAUUUAUGUAAAAUUUGUGACAAAGCCUUCUGCUACAGUGUAUUUCAUACUGAAUGUGAUUUCAGAAUGGGAAGAUACUGACUCUAUUUUGAUAAACAGCCUGCUAACUAAUUCUCAAGUGCUCCAACACAGUGAGAUGUAAAGUGUCUUCCAGUAUCCCCAUGCAUCUGAAGACAUCGGUGCUGACUGAUCAACAAUGUGCAGGGAAUGCCUGAUUGUUUUAUUAUGUCAUUUUGCUACUGAAGAAAUUUAUUCAUGAUUGUUCACCAGCAAGAUGAGAUCAUGUGGGAUCAGUAUAUAUUUGGAACCUUAAACCUUACACAAUGCGAUUACUCGGGAUAUCUAGAUGCAAAUUUCACUCCAGCACCACCACCACCCCCUUCGUCUAUCCUCAAAACACAUACAUUUACCACCAGGCACUGGAGGGGCAUUUACAAGGAAUGUCUCUUGGAACUGCAAAGAACAAAGGAAAUUCUCUGCAAAAUGAUGCUGAAACAUGAUCACUGAUGCAUACUUUCUUGCCAGUAUCUUGCUUUUUGAAUAUCGUCCUUACCUAUUAUUAGGAUAUUGUUUUCUUUGGAUGGGAAAGACAAAGAUGAGAAGUCCACUUAAGUGCUCAAACAGUACCCUCUACUGGUGCAGUUUGAGCUUAAGGUUUUAUUUGUAGCAGGGCUUAGUUGUACUGACAACAGAUGGAAAAGAGAUAAGAAGAGAAAGCAAGGUGAAAAGUAUACAUCAUCAUGUAAAAAGAAAACAUGAAUUUAAAAAAACAACUAACUUUAGUCUGAUAUAACUAAACUGACAUUUGAGGCAUCCUAGCAUAUAUGUGAUACAAACGCACUUCAUUAAAUCCUCAUACAAUACUUUGUUCUUGGAAAAACAGUACACUAAUGGAUGAUUCUGCAUAUGACAUUCAGUAUCUUUGCUUUACGAAGUGAUUCACCACCAGUUCCCCCAGGGAGUUCCUCAAGUUCCUGGAACAUGUGACAUGAUUUAUACCCUGACUUUGGGAACAUAUUAAUUGUGAAAAAUAAACUGGUUCCUUAGGUCACAGUCCAGGGCUCUUACAUGAUACCAGAGAGGCCUGUGCUACUUGACAUGUUUGUAAAUGUUUAGGCAAAGUUCAAAAUUAAUUUUUGGUGUCUUGCUAAUAUAUAAGUAACAGUGGUUUGGAGAUGGCAAGAUUAAUUUAUCUGAUGAAGGAAGGAAUGAGCAACAUAUGCUUCCCAGAGCAGGGGAUCUGGAGAUCUAUUUUGUUUAAUAUAGUAUAAAUGCUUAAUAAAUUGAAUUGUGAUUAAAACCAGGUGCAGCCCUACAUUUAGAAGAAAACUCGGA
ensembl:lncRNA